rnacentral:rRNA from 1 species
CGCCUGGGGAGUGCGGCCGCAAGGUUAAAACUCAAAUGAAUUGACGGGGGCCCGCACAAGCGGUGGAGCAUGUGGUUUAAUUCGACGCAACGCGAAGAACCUUACCUGGCCUUGACAUGCAGAGAACUUUCCAGAGAUGGAUUGGUGCCUUCGGGAACUCUGACACAGGUGCUGCAUGGCCGUCGUCAGCUCGUGUCGUGAGAUGUUGGGUUAAGUCCCGUAACGAGCGCAACCCCUAUCCCUAGUUGCUAGCAGUUCGGCUGAGAACUCUAGGGAGACUGCCGGUGACAAACCGGAGGAAGGUGGGGAUGACGUCAGGUCAUCAUGGCCCUUACGGCCAGGGCUACACACGUGCUACAAUGGUGCGCACAGAGGGCUGCAAACCCGCGAGGGGGAGCCAAUCUCACAAAACGCAUCGUAGUCCGGAUCGCAGUCUGCAACUCGACUGCGUGAAGUCGGAAUCGCUAGUAAUCGUGAAUCAGAAUGUCACGGUGAAUACGUUCCCGGGCCUUGUACACACCGCCCGUCACACCAUGGGAGUGGAUUGCACCAGAAGUGGUUAGUCUAACCUUCGGGAGGACGAUCACCACGGUGUGGUUCGUGACUGGGGUGAAGUCGUAACAAGGUAACCGUA